rnacentral:rRNA from 1 species
AAAGCGUAGGCGAUGGAAAACAGGUUAAUAUUCCUGUACUUCUAGUUAUUGCGAUGGAGGGACGGAGAAGGCUAGGCCAGCUUGGCGUUGGUUGUCCAAGUUUAAGGUGGUAGGCUGGAAUCUUAGGUAAAUCCGGGAUUCUAAGGCCGAGAGCUGAUGACGAGUUACCUUUUAGGUGACGAAGUGGUUGAUGCCAUGCUUCCAAGAAAAGCUUCUAAGCUUCAGAUAACUAGGAACCGUACCGUAAACCGACAC